GAUAUUGCAAAGAAUAUUGGCAUCUUUGGGCCAUCCAAGAUCUCAACCCUAACAAACAUAUCUCCUUCUUUAAUUUGCCCUCCAUGGCCAACCUCUGAGAGAGGGAGUUGAAUCAAUAGGAAGAAUCUUUCUGCAAUGUUUCCUUUACACCAAGGCAAUGAGCUGUUGUUCCGAAUCCCCUAUACACCCUCCAAACAAUAUAUAAUCCAACAAGAUAUGAUCCUGGAUCACGCUUCGCUGGAAGCCAGUAAUCUUAGCAACCAUAAAGGAAAAAGCCCGAAUCGAAAAUUAUUUGCUCAGGACAACAAUGAUGAGAUUUCUAAUGAUGGUAAGAAGAAGAAGAAGAAGAUUGUGCAUCGAGAUGUCGAACGACAAAGGAGGCAAGAUAUGGCUACCCUUUACACAUCACUUAGAUCGCUGCUCCCUCUUGAAUAUAUCAAGGGAAAACGUGCGAUAUCUGAACACAUGAACGGGGCUGUGAAUUAUAUCAAACACCUGCAGAAGAAGAUUAAAGAAUUGGGUGAAAAGAGGAAUGAGCUUAAAAGUUUGGCUAAUUCCAGCUCUAGGAACUCUUCAGGGAACUUCGUUACAGUGUGUCCUUGCUGGGGAGGAGUGGAGAUUGUGGUCAGUAGUGGUGGAGAAAAGGAAGGGAUGCCUUUGUCAAGAGCACUUGAAACACUGCUUGAAGAAGGACUUAGUGUUAUUAGCUGCAUCUCCACCAAAGUAAAUGGAAGGUUGCUGCACACUAUCCACUGCGAGGUGAGUGAUAUAACCAGCAUCGAUCUGCAUGGUCUGCAACAGCAACUCUCUGAUCAAGUGCUUCCUCAUCUGGACAAACUUCCAAGUAACACUGCUUUGAGGAAUAUCCCCACCAUCUGACCCUUUGAUAGGAAACAAUGAAGUGGUUUUAUUUAGCUCGACUAGCCAGCAAAUAUCUUUUCAUCCUCUUCCCAAAAUAUCUUUGGGGAAUGCUUGGAAACCUUCCAUAUGUACAGAAGAAUUUCCCUUUUGAGCCUUUCGAAGUGCCUGCCAUCACAUGUGCAAAAGAAGUUGACUUCAUUGCGGUGUUGCAUGUUUCCUCCACAUGAAGUACUUCAAGAUGAAUUGAUUAUUAAAACAAUGCACACACCACAUUUGCAACUUGGUUGUUAUGCCUGACUAGGAUAUAUAUGAUUCCCUUCAUGAGUAUUUAGGCAUGUUAAGCCUGUGUGUGUAAAAACCAGAUUAUCAAAAAUCACAUUCCUGCCAAUAGAUAACAGUGAAAAAUUUAGUGAUAUCAGAUAUGCAGAUAUAGUUGCUCUUAUUUUCUAUGUUUGGUUAUGUAGCUUUUGAUGGCAGUUCUCCAUUCAAUGUAUUGCAUACUUUCCGAAAUACAUGCCAGCUUGUCUGAGAUUUGUAUAUCUUAUGACAAUCAUUAAAUAAGAGAAUUAUAUCCUUACCCA